AUUUCAAAUCCACAGUGGCUCAGAGAGACUGAGUGAUUUGAAAACCAAUCACAAAAUUUGUUAGCGAAUGGACAGGACCAGAUUAUAAUAAUAAAAAAAUGAAAAAAAAGCAUAUGUACAAAAGAAAAUAGAAUUUUUGGGACAAAAAAAAAAUCAUAUAGCAUCAAUUAUUCCACAAUUGAUGUGAAAAUGCAUGUUAGUGGAUCUCAAAAAAAAAAAAAAAAAAA
rnacentral:misc_RNA from 1 species